rnacentral:rRNA from 1 species
GAUGAACGCUGGCGGCGUGCCUAAUACAUGCAAGUCGAGCGAAUGGAUUAAGAGCUUGCUCUUAUGGAGUUAGCGGCGGACGGGUGAGUAACACGUGGGUAACCUGCCCAUAAGACUGGGAUAACUCCGGGAAACCGGGGCUAAUACCGGAUAACAUUUUGAACCGCAUGGUUCGAAAUUGAAAGGCGGCUUCGGCUGUCACUUAUGGAUGGACCCGCGUCGCAUUAGCUAGUUGGUGAGGUAACGGCUCACAAAGGCAACGAUGCGUAGCCGACCUGAGAGGGUGAUCGGCCACACUGGGACUGGGACACGGCCCAGACUCCUACGGGAGGCAGCAGUAGGGAAUCUUCCGCAAUGGACGAAAGUCUGACGGAGCAACGCCGCGUGAGUGAUGAAGGCUUUCGGGUCGUAAAACUCUGUUGUUAGGGAAGAACAAGUGCUAGUUGAAUAAGCUGGCACCUUGACGGUACCUAACCAGAAAGCCACGGCUAACUACGUGCCAGCCGCCGCGGUAA